GAUCAUGGCUCAGAGUGAACGCUGGCGGCAGGCCUAACACAUGCAAGUCGAGCGGCAGCGCGGGGGCAACCCUGGCGGCGAGCGGCGGACGGGUGAGGAAUACAUCGGAAUCUGCCUUGUUGUGGGGGAUAACGUAGGGAAACUUACGCUAAUACCGCAUGAGACCGUGAGGUGAAAGUGGGGGAUCGCAAGACCUCACGCGACAAGAUGAGCCGAUGUCGGAUUAGCUAGUUGGUGAGGUAAAGGCUCACCAAGGCAACGAUCCGUAGCUGGUCUGAGAGGAUGAUCAGCCACACUGGGACUGAGACACGGCCCAGACUCCUACGGGAGGCAGCAGUGGGGAAUAUUGGACAAUGGGCGCAAGCCUGAUCCAGCCAUGCCGCGUGUGUGAAGAAGGCCUUCGGGUUGUAAAGCACUUUUGUUGGGAAAGAAAUCCUGUCGAUUAAUACUCGGCGGGGAUGACGGUACCCAAAGAAUAAGCACCGGCUAACUUCGUG
rnacentral:rRNA from 1 species